rnacentral:misc_RNA from 1 species
AGCCGCGGUAAUUCCAGCUCCAAUAGCGUAUAUUAAAGUUGUUGCAGUUAAAAAGCUCGUAGUUGAAUUUCGGGGUUAGUAGGUUGGUCAUGCCUCCGGUAUGUACUGAUCUCACUGAUUCCUCCUUCCUUAUGAACCGUAAUGCCAUUAAUUUGGUGUUGCGGGGAAUUUGGACUGUUACUUUGAAAAAAUUAGAGUGUUUAAAGCAGGCUAACGCUUGAAUACAUUAGCAUGGAAUAAUGAAAUAGGACGUUCGAUCUUAUUUUGUUGGUUUCUAGGAUUGACGUAAUGAUUAAUAGGGAUAGUUGGGGGCAUUAGUAUUCAAUUGUCAGAGGUGAAAUUCUUGGAUUUAUUGAAGACUAACUACUGCGAAAGCAUUUGCCAAGGAUGUUUUCAUUAAUCAAGAACGAAAGUUAGGGGAUCGAAGACGAUCAGAUACCGUCGUAGUCUUAACCAUAAACUAUGCCGACUAGGGAUCGGAUGAUGUUAAUUUUUUAAUGACUCAUUCGGCGCCUUACG